UUAAGUUCAGCGGGUAGUCUUGCCUGAUUUGAGGUCAAAAUUGUCAAAAGUUGUCCAAGGGACGGUUAGAAGCAGGUCUUCAAGUAACCAACCCAAUCCACGGCGUAGAUAAUUAUCACACCAAUAGAGUAGGGGCACAACCCACUAAUACAUUUCAGAGGAGCAGACCACGAGAGUGGACCUGCAACCCCCACAUCCAA
rnacentral:misc_RNA from 1 species